UCUCUUCUUGUCAUCGACCUCUCCCUCGGCCGCGACGAGGUCCGCCGUGCCGUCCUUGACGCCGGCAAGGAGCUCAGUUUCUUCCAGGUGGUCAACCACGGUGUCCCUGAGCAUGCGAUGCGGGGCAUGGAGGCGGUGGGCGAGGAGUUCUUCCGCCUGCCGGCGCCAGACGUGGCACCCUUCUACUCAGACGACAGACGCAAGCCCAACCGGUUCUUCUUCGGCAGCACCUUUGAGACCGGCGGUGACAAGUACUGGGUGGAUUGCCUCCGCCUCACCUGCCCUCAGUAGUUCUCCGUAGGGGACAACAAGAAUCACUGGCCCGACAAACCCCAGGACUCCAGGGAGGUUGUCAAGAAGUUCAUCGUGCUCACAAGAGGCAUGGGAAUGGAUCUCCUGCGGCUUCUCGAGGUCUUUGGGCUCCGCCACAACUACUUCGAGGGGCCCCUCGGUAGUAGUGAAACCAUCAUUGGCCUUAACCACUACCCGUCAUGCUCAAACCUGGAUCCGAGACUCGGCCUUGGGCUGCCGCCACACUGUGACCGGAACCUAAUCACGCUCCUCCUACCCGGUGAUGUCCCUGGCCUACAGAUCUCAUACAAGGGCGAUUGGAUUACCGUUGAGCCCAUGCCAAACGCCUUUGUCGUCAACUUCGGCCUACAACUUGAGGUUGUGACUAACGGGGUGCUAAAGAGCAUUGAGCACCGGGUGAUGACCAACCCGGUGAUGCCACGAACGUCGGUGGGGGUUUUCAUCCAGCCUGACGCAGACUGCCUCGUCGGCCCAGCGGAGGAGUUCGUCAGCGAAGGAAACCCCGGACGCUACCGCACCCUCACCUUCGGCGAGUUCAUGCGCAUCCAUAAUGUUAUAAAGUUAGGCUCAUCACUCAAUCUCACAACAGAUCUCAGCAUCUCUCAACAAACACUAGACAAAAAUAUAUGA
rnacentral:rRNA from 1 species